rnacentral:rRNA from 1 species
GCAUUUUGCUUGAAUACAUUAGCAUGGAAUAAUAAAAUAGGACGGCAUGAUUCUAUUUUGUUGGUUUCUAGGAUCACCGUAAUGAUUAAUAGGGAUAGUUGGGGGCAUUAGUAUUCAAUUGUCAGAGGUGAAAUUCUUGGAUUUAUUGAAGACUANNNNNUGCGAAAGCAUUUGCCAAGGAUGUUUUCAUUAAUCAAGAACGAAAGUUAGGGGANNGAAGACGAUCAGAUAC